rnacentral:rRNA from 1 species
AUUGAACGCUGGCGGCAGGCCUAACACAUGCAAGUCGAGCGGAUGAAGGGAGCUUGCUCCUGGAUUCAGCGGCGGACGGGUGAGUAAUGCCUAGGAAUCUGCCUGGUAGUGGGGGAUAACGUCCGGAAACGGGCGCUAAUACCGCAUACGUCCUGAGGGAGAAAGUGGGGGAUCUUCGGACCUCACGCUAUCAGAUGAGCCUAGGUCGGAUUAGCUAGUUGGUGGGGUAAAGGCCUACCAAGGCGACGAUCCGUAACUGGUCUGAGAGGAUGAUCAGUCACACUGGAACUGAGACACGGUCCAGACUCCUACGGGAGGCAGCAGUGGGGAAUAUUGGACAAUGGGCGAAAGCCUGAUCCAGCCAUGCCGCGUGUGUGAAGAAGGUCUUCGGAUUGUAAAGCACUUUAAGUUGGGGGGAAGGGCAGUAAGUUAAUACCUUGCUGUUUUGACGGUACCAACAGAAUAAGCACCGGCUAACUUCGUG